rnacentral:rRNA from 1 species
UACGUAGGGUGCGAGCGUUGUCCGGAAUUAUUGGGCGUAAAGAGCUCGUAGGCGGCCUGUCGCGUCGGUUGUGAAAGCCCGGGGCUUAACCCCGGGUCUGCAGUCGAUACGGGCAGGCUAGAGUUCGGUAGGGGAGAUCGGAAUUCCUGGUGUAGCGGUGGAAUGCGUAGAGAUCCGGAAGAACACCGGUGGCGAAGGCGGCCUGCUGGGCGGCGACUGACGCUGAGGCGCGACAGCGUGGGGAGCAAACAGG